rnacentral:rRNA from 1 species
GACGAACGUUGGCGGCGUGCUUAAUACAUGCAAGUCAACUGAAGCAGUGGUAGUAAUACUACUGUGGAGGUGGCGCAACGGGUGAGUAACGCGUAGGUAAUCUGCCUUUGGAUCUGACAUAACUCCGAGAAAUCGAAGCUAAUAUCAGAUGAUGCAGCGGCUUGACAUCAAGACAGUUGUUAAAGCUUCGGCGCCCAAAGAUGAGCCUGCGUCCCAUUAGGUAGUUGGCGGAGUAAUAGCCCACCAAGCCCACGAUGGGUAGCUGGUCUGAGAGGACGACCAGCCACACUGGGACUGAGACACGGCCCAGACUCCUACGGGAGGCAGCAGUGGGGAAUCUUGGACAAUGGAGGAAACUCUGAUCCAG